rnacentral:rRNA from 1 species
UACGGAGGGGGCUAGCGGUGUUCGGAAUUACUGGGCGUAAAGCGCACGUAGGCGGCUUUGCAAGUCAGAGGUGAAAGCCCGGGGCUCAACCCCGGAAUAGCCUUUGAGACUGCAUCGCUAGAAUUGUGGAGAGGUAAGUGGAAUUCCGAGUGUAGAGGUGAAAUUCGUAGAUAUUCGGAAGAACAUCAGUGGCGAAGGCGGUCUGCUGGGCCGUUGCUGACGCUGAGGCGCGACAGCGUGGGGAGCAAACAGG